UACGGGGGGGGCAAGCGUUGUCCGGAAUCAUUGGGCGUAAAGCGCGCGUAGGUGGCCACAUAAGUCCGUUGUGAAAGUCAAAGGCUCAACCUUUGAAAGCCGAUGGAUACUGUGUGGCUAGAGUACGGAAGAGGCGAGUGGAAUUCCUGGUGUAGCGGUGGAAUGCGCAGAUAUCAGGAGGAACACCAAUAGCGAAGGCAGCUCGCUGGGACGUUACUGACACUGAGGCGCGAAAGCGUGGGGAGCGAACAGG
rnacentral:rRNA from 1 species